rnacentral:rRNA from 1 species
UACGAAGGGGGCUAGCGUUGCUCGGAAUCACUGGGCGUAAAGCGCACGUAGACGGAUUGUUAAGUCAGGGGUGAAAUCCUGGAGCUCAACUCCAGAACUGCCUUUGAUACUGGCGAUCUCGAGUCCGGGAGAGGUGAGUGGAACUGCGAGUGUAGAGGUGAAAUUCGUAGAUAUUCGCAAGAACACCAGUGGCGAAGGCGGCUCACUGGCCCGGUACUGACGCUGAGGUGCGAAAGCGUGGGGAGCAAACAGG